GACGGAGGAUGCAAGCGUUAUCCGGAAUGAUUGGGCGUAAAGCGUCCGCAGGUGGCAGUUCAAGUCUGCUGUCAAAGACCGGGGCUUAACUUCGGAAAGGCAGUGGAAACUGAACAGCUAGAGUAUGGUAGGGGCAGAGGGAAUUCCUGGUGUAGCGGUGAAAUGCGUAGAGAUCAGGAAGAACAUCGGUGGCGAAGGCGGCCUGCUGGGCUGUAGCUGACGCUGAGGCGCGACAGCGUGGGGAGCAAACAGG
rnacentral:rRNA from 1 species